ACAUCCUCAACCUGCUUGGUUUUAUCGAACCAAGUAGGCUUGGAAUUUGGAGGUUUUCUGCUGGCCUCCUCCGAAGCCAGCUCCUCUUAAAUGUAUCAGUGGGGUCCGCUUUGCUAGAUCCUCGACGUUGAUAAGAUGUUUCUACGUCUUGGGUUUCGCUCGGGAAGGAACCUGCUUCUAACCGUCCCAUCAGGGACAAUGUUCGAGCCGAUCGCCUUUCACGGGGUGGGAAGCUUUCGACCCAUGAAA
rnacentral:misc_RNA from 1 species